UUGAUUUUUCUUUUCGUUUACCGUAGCGGAAUGGAUUCUGGGUUUUCUUAUUCCCAACAGUCCAAUACAAAUCUAGCCUGGACGCGUAACUCGCACUACAUCCGUUCAUUUGUAAUUCAAAUUUUGAAUAUCCGGAAUCCGUACCAACGGCCUCUGGAAUCUCUACCAAAUGCCUUUGAAAUGAGCCCUAAUUCGCUAAAUAUUGUAUCAACUUUGUCAUAAGACGAUUUUUCCGUAGACUAUCGGUACACUGAAACUAAUGUUGGAGUAAAUACAACCGCUGCAUAGUUCUUAAAAUUACUAUUCAGGAUUAUGUUAAAAUUUAACGUGUUUGUCUUUACAAAUACUGCAAUAUUGUUAAAAUUACUAUGCCAUCAAUCGAUAAAUUUUACUAUCAUGAGAAGUCAAGAGCACUGUUGCCCUGCAUUGAAGAUAAAUACAAGAUCGGUAAUUUUUAAUGAACAAUAUUGUCAUUUUUACUAUGUGCAUGGUAAUUUUAACAACAAAACGUAGUAAUAAUGACCCCACCAAAUUGGAUGUUUUUCUCCGUCAACUUGUGAAGGAUUAACAUCAGCGCGGAUAUAAAAGACUUUUGUUUUGUGUUUUGGACGUAAUAUUAAGCAAUGUUUUUAUAGUAACUAUUCUACCCAUGCUGCUAUUAAUCCAGAAUUUCCAGAAUUGAUUGCAUCGUGCAAUUUCCAGACCCAAAUAAGUGAUCCAAAAUAUAAUUUAAGACUACUUCAUUCUACUUUUAUUGAAAAUUUGAGCGAUGGUGAGCAGAUUCUGCAUGUGCCGCCAUGUUCCAUCAGAGAUCAAUGAAGGCAAAUACGGACAUAAAGUCCUCUGCAAGACUCCACUACGAUCGCCGUUUUGGAAAUCCAAAAAUCCUGUUUUUAAUGGACUAGAAAACACAAUACAUUAUCAGAGAAUUUAUUCUUCAAUAAAUAAUUACGAUUGAUGGAA